rnacentral:rRNA from 1 species
UACGAAGGGGGCUAGCGUUGCUCGGAAUCACUGGGCGUAAAGGGUGCGUAGGCGGGUUUUUAAGUCAGAGGUGAAAUCCUGGAGCUCAACUCCAGAACUGCCUUUGAUACUGAAGAUCUUGAGUUCGGGAGAGGUGAGUGGAACUGCGAGUGUAGAGGUGAAAUUCGUAGAUAUUCGCAAGAACACCAGUGGCGAAGGCGGCUCACUGGCCCGAUACUGACGCUGAGACGCGAAAGCGUGGGGAGCGAACAGG